GUAAUUUUUGUAUUUUUAGAGGAGAUGGGGUUUCACCAUCUUGGUCAGGCUGGUAAGUUGACAGUUUUUAAAGCAUGUUGAUAUAUUUAACCCAACUGGAUCUGCUUUCAUGUCCAUUGUGAGGGUGUGGGGUUUUCGGGGCGGCUCUUUUUACCCUGAUGAAUCCCUUGCCGUUGGGACAUCGCUCGCCUCGAUGGAGCCAAACCCCAGGGCCGCGUUUCCUGCUCCCCUUGCCUCGUCUCGCGUGGCCACUGGCUGCGAUGCCCACUCCUUUCUCACAGCUCCUUCCUGGGCUUCAGCAGAGGCCCCCGACCCUAAUUUCCAUCCUGCUGCUGUAACUGCUCCUUUCAGAAUCCUCCCUGGCCCCCUCCUGCCACAUUACCCUUCUUCCAGCCUAGCAGGUGAGCCCUCCCCAGGAGCCCCAGAGCCAGCUCCAUGCCUCUGUCUCCUGCCCGCCGCUGUGGUCUGUGUUCCACUGGCUAGCCCCCUGCCUGUGCCCGCAGACCUUCCCUCUCUGGACACCUGCCUUUUUCUCGUCCCCUCACUGACACACCCCAGCCACUUCUUCUCCUCUACCCCCAUCGUGACAGGUCCCCUCCACUCUGGCCAUAUGGGGACCCAGCGGAUCUCUCCUCCCAGACUAGGCCUUGUUGCCAGUGACCUUCCAGCUUACUCCUACCCAAGGGCUCUUGCUCCAGACUGCGGAGCUCCCCGCGCGUCCCGCAGCCUGACACCUCAAAGAGCCAUGGCUUUGCAGGGGCCAUUUCUUCUGUGUAGAACUCUUCCUCCAGCUCACAGUCUGGCAAAUGCCUGUUUCCUUGACAGCCCAGUUUAAUCCACACCCUCUGCAGCAUCCCCUGACCUGCCAAAUGACUGGACCUUCCUCCCUGCUGCCUCACAAUCUGGCAGAGCCUGCGCACGCCGAGCUUGGUCUGAGAGGCUGGUGUGCCAGCUCACAGUUGAUUGUCGAUGAAACCUUGAGCUCCUGGAGGUCAGAGCCCCAAUCCUCCUGCCCUCAGCCCCAGGCAGCAGGGCCUUGAUGAAAAUAAAUAUGUGAAACAGACGGUCUUGGAAGGCAAGGAGGACGGGGCUGCCCUUGUAUAGGUCAGGCGGGACUUGGCAGCAUAAGUAGUCAGCCACCCCAGGCACUGCUGCGGGAGCUGUGUGUCCUUUCAGCUGCAGAGCUGCAACCAGGAUGGUCCACGGCUGGAAGCCUGCCCAGCUUGCUGGAAACUUCUUUUUUAAAGCAUGCAUUUUGUUCUUCAAAUUCCAAAGCCUCACCCAGCCCUGCAAAAAUGAUGGCUUCUAGAACUACCCUGCGGUGCACAAGGCCCCUGGCACCCCUCAGAGGCAGCAAUGGCUGCGAACACGUAUUGGGACUGGGAUCUCCUGCAGGGUCGGGCAGUCCCUGCCUGUGCGGGCACACACCACUGGCUGCUUUCUCUAGGCCCCUGGAGGAAAAGUGAUGCUGCCCCUCCACUGCCUUCAGCAAGAGGUUUCGACUUCCAGGCCCUGAGAACUGCCCGGAGUGCUGGCUGCUGGGUGGAAGCACACCCUCUGACCUGGUCAGAGCUCAGGUCCGGUCACAGGCUGGGUCACCUUGGCCUUUUGUCUUCUCAGCAUGGAGUGACUGAGGAGGACCAGCUGCUUUUCAGCCUCAGAGGCUGGCUAGCGGUGGGGUGCAGGCCCCGCCUCUGAGGAGGAGAGCUUAGCUGUCACUUCUCUGUCAGUCCAUCUGCAUGACAGGCAGUUCUCUCCCCACCGGACUUCCUAGAAACCUGGGUUAGCAAAGCAUCAACAUGCAAGUUGCCACCACUUCCUUCCCCUUGUGCAGCCACCAUGAACUCACCACAGGCUGUGUCUGAACACGGCAUCAGAAUCCUUCCCAACACUGGAGGAGAAGUGCAUGCUGCCGGGGCCAUGAUGAGACACCUCCGAAGGCGCCCGUCUGUAGCUUGAGGGAUAACACUGACCAUGUCCACAGUGACCAUCACAGAUGGCGGCACCAGGGUCAGGGGCUCCGUCGGGGCUUCUAGUUCAGCUCUUUUGUUUGUAGAUGACAUGGUUUGGGUCCGUCUCUCCACCCAAAUCUCAUGUCACAUUGUAAUCCCCAGUGUUGAAGGUGGGACCUGGUAGGCGGUGACUGGAUCACGGGGGAGGACUUCCCUCUUGGUGCUGUUCUUAUGAUAGUGCAUGCUGGCAAGAUCUAGUUGAUUAAAACUGUAACACCUGCCCCCACGCUUUCUUCCUCCUGCUCGCUCCCCUCCUUGCCUUCCACCUUGACUGAAGGCCUCUCCAUGCUUCCUGUGCAGCCUGUGGAACCAUGAACAAAUUCAACCUCUUCUCUGUCAAUUAUCCAGUCUCAGGUGUUUCUUUAUAGCAGUGUGAGAACAAACUAAUUCAGAGGAUGAGGACACAGAAGCACCGAGAAGGACCAGCGUGGUAGAGUAUUGAUCGCUGGCUCCAUCGCCUGUGGGGCUGAUGAUGCAUUUCUGCUGUCAGAAUCUCACACUCUUGGGACCAAGCUGAGCGAGAGUUUGGUUCCAGUAAUGAAGAUGUGCAGUUCCUAUAAUGAAGACAGAGGAUCUCCUCGAGUGGAAAGCAGUUUUCUGUCACCAGAAUCCCAGAAACAGUACCCGGGAUCUAUUAAAGCCUCAGUCGGUGUUCAUUGAAAUAAUAAUAAGAAAAAAUUAAAUGCCUGCCUUUGCUAAUAAUGCCUCUUUGCCCAAGCACAUUAGCCCGAGCAUGAGUCCUGCAUGUAUUGAGGUGUAUGCGAAAGUGCAUUUGCACAUCAGUAUGUUCCUAUGGUAAAAACCAGGUAGUGUUGCUUUGGCAAGGUUGGAUGCAGCAGAGAGCCCGUGCCCGUGCCCUGUCACUGCUGUAACAGCUUAGUGCUGCUGGAGACGUGGAGAGCUCACAGAGGGGACUGGACGUGAAGUAGAGACUCAGGUCCUGGUGAUGUUGCCUCACACACACGACCUCCCCCCCACCAUGCAGACACUGAGAACAACCAUCAUUUUAUUGUUAUCAGCUCAUGGUGUGGGUCAGGGCUUUGAACAGUCGGUCCCUGCCCCACAGAGCUGAUGGAGGUUACUUGUGAUACCACAUCUGGCAGGUGGAUUUUUCUGGGAAGUUCAAGACAGCUUCACUCCCAUGCUGGGGCCUUUAUGAGGGUGGCCAAGAGGCUGAGCUUGGCAGGGGCCAUCGACCAGAGCAUCACACGUGUCUCCAUUUUGAUUGUCUUGGGGUCUGUGGACUUCCUUCAGAGGGAGAAGGUUGCGAGGGAGGAGGUGGAAGCUGCCAGGCUUCCGUGAGCCUCCAGUGCGUGUCUCUCCUGGUACAUCCCCUGGAAAAGUCAAUGGGGCUAGACCAGGUUCAUGGGGCUGGGAACAGGCGCCACUUCUCCAUGGGAGCAGGAGCAGAGGCUUUGCAGCCACCCUGCAUCUGUACAGUGACGGGCCCUGAGAUGAGUGCAGUGUGCAUGGAGAAGGGAGAACCAGCCCUCCCUGCUGAGGAGGCUCUGCUGAGCCUGUGUGCUUGCUUCUCUGCCAGGUUCCUCCGCAUUGCUCCGUGGCCUCUCUGCCAGCUCCGUGCCCCUAGAGGCUGGUGCUUAGCAAUAGCGCCUUCUUCUCCCUAACUCCUCACCCCUGCCCCUCAGGCCAUGCCUGCUGCACUGCCCUUGUGGACACAUCCCUUCGUGAGUCCCUCUUCUGUUAACCCUGUGCCUGUGUCCUCUGUUCUCAAUGUGGGCCUGACCCUGAUGGCACAUUCAAAAAGAAUUAAAUAGUUCGUAAUUUUACAAUAAAAAAGAUGACAAAAAUUGUAUGAUCAAUUAGUAAUAAAAUGCCGCAUGCUGAAAAGUAACUUGGAAGAUUUUCCUUCUUUGGAAUGCCUAAAAUGUUAUCAAGGCCGUUUUGGAAUUGACGACUGUGCAGAAGUGUUUGCUCCAUCUUACAAAUUCCAGGCCCAAGAGAACCCCUGAUCUCCAGUGGGAGCAUCACACAUCUGCCCUGCUGCCCAGCUCCUGCUCCUUGCGUCUGCAGAUGCACCUCCAGGUGUCUGCUUCUGCUGUGACCUUUACACCAGGAUGUUCACAUGAACCCAUCCCUGCCCCUCUCCCCUCACUGCAGCGGGGCCGUGCAAGGUGAAGGGUUGAGUUGGGCCUCCUUCUACUGCGAUCCUGAAGUGGGGGGCGGGAGAAGGUGAGGCAAGCCCGGGGCCAGUGGGUCUAAUUCAGAGGCAUCAUGGUGGAGGGAGGGAAGCCAAGGAGCAGGAAAGGUGGCUUUGUAGUGAGAACAGAUGCAGAACCACUUCCUUCUAGGGGAAGCUCAGGCAGCUUCUCCUGCAGUGCCCUGACCCAAGGCUACAUGGCCAGCAGCCAGUGGGCCUCGCUGGGGUUGCUGCCUCCAUUCAUGUCAUCCCUGUAAGUGUCUCUUCCCUUCAGGCCAUGGCACUGAAAGGCUUUGCUUCCUUUUCUUAGCAGUUUCCACUUCUCCAAAUAUCUGACAAGUAAGGGGCCACUGCUCACCCUGCAGGCCACGUGCCUCUUGGCACCACAUCCCCAGGCGGCUCCAUGCAGAACUCCGCUGUGAAAAUGCAGCAGAGAAGCUUUGGCCUCAUGUUAUGUGGUUCCCCGAACACUGGAAAAGACCUCUGAGGCUGCAUGAGGGAGGCUGGUGGGCAAGGGGUCUGUCUGCCCAGACCGAGCAACUCCAGCCUGCCACCCACAUGGGACUGGCCACUUCCUGAGAACAGGAGCUCCUCACAGCCAUCCUGAGGGCUGCUGUCUCUCCCUGUGCUAAAAGACUCAGUCCCAGCACACCCCUAGGCCUCCUUGGGGUCCUUCUGGUCAAAUUCAGAGUCCUGUUGGCAUCCGUGCCCUCAUCUUACCAUCUCUUUCAAACCUUCUGUGCUCCUCAGCAGGGCAGGGAGUGUAUGGGGUGCAGUCUCUUUCCUUUCUCUGCCCUCUGGGCCCCCCAUGCUCUUGAGGUGCCAGACACGGAGAGGAGGAAGUUGGGUGACCUCCAGAGGGAGAGGGGAGCCUGUGAGUGCCACAUCAGGUUGGGAGAAGCGAAGUCUCAAGGACAAGAAGCUGAAGGUACCAUUACUAGGAUGCUUUGCAUACUUGUUCCUCUUGUACCAAGACACGUGUGGCCCCCAGAUUCUUUCAUGUAUUUGAUAGACAACCCUGUCACAUGUCCACCAGGGUUUUAAAAAACCCCUGUUGCUUUUCCUUUUUUCUUUUUUUUUUUUUUUUUGAGACAGAGUCUUGCUCUGUUAC